UACGGGGGGAGCAAGCGUUGUUCGGAUUUACUGGGCGUAAAGAGCGCGUAGGCGGUCAGCACAAGUCAGUUGUGAAAUCUCCGGGCUUAACUCGGAAAGGUCAACUGAUACUGUUCGACUAGAGUGCAGAAGGGGCAACUGGAAUUCUCGGUGUAGCGGUGAAAUGCGUAGAUAUCGGGAGGAACACCCGUAGCGAAGGCGGCACUCUGGGCCGGAACUGACGCUGAGGAGCGAAAGCGUGGGGAGCAAACAGG
rnacentral:rRNA from 1 species